AUACGUAGGGAGCAAGCGUUGUCCGGAUUUACUGGGCGUAAAGGGCGCGUAGGUGGUUCAUUAAGUUAGAGGUUAAAGUUCGGGGCUCAACCCCGUGAUGCCUCUGAUACUGGUGGACUUGAGUGCAGGAGAGGGGAGCAGAAUUCCCAGUGUAGCGGUGAAAUGCGUAGAUAUUGGGAGGAAUACCAGUGGCGAAGGCGGCUCUCUGGACUGCAACUGACACUGAGGCGCGAAAGCGUGGGGAGCGAACAGGAUUAGAUACCCUGGUAGUCCACGCCGUAAACGAUGAGUGCUAGGUGUUGCGGGUAUCGACCCCUGCAGUGCCGUAGUUAACACAAUAAGCACUCCGCCUGGGGAGUACGGUCGCAAGACUGAA
rnacentral:rRNA from 1 species